GUCGCUACUACCGAUUGAAUGGCUCGGUGAGGCUUCGGACUGGCCCAGGAGGGUUGGCAACGACCCCCCAGGGCCGGAAAGUUGGUCAAACCCGGUCAUUUAGAGGAAGUAAAAGUCGUAACAAGGUUUCCGUAGGUGAACCUGCGGAAGGAUCAUUAC
rnacentral:rRNA from 1 species